CCUCAGUAAGGGCGACUGAAACGGGAACAGCCCAGCGCAUAACCUCGCGGUCUUCCCGGCCGUCGAGGGGUGUUGCGUUUCGGUGGAUCCGUCCCGCUCGAGCCGCUUACCGCCUAAGUCAUUGCUUGAAAGCAGCCCCAAGGAGGGUGAUAGCCGCUCGAGCCGCUUACCGCCUAAGUCAUUGCUUGAAAGCAGCCCCAAGGAGGGUGAUAGUAGAGUCGGGUUG
rnacentral:rRNA from 1 species